GAUGAACGCUGGCGGCGUGCUUAACACAUGCAAGUCGAACGGAAAGGCCCAAGCUUGCUUGGGUACUCGAGUGGCGAACGGGUGAGUAACACGUGGGUGAUCUGCCCUGCACUUCGGGAUAAGCCUGGGCAACUGGGUCUAAUACCGGAUAGGACCACAUUUUGGAUGGUGUGGUGGAAAGUUUUUCGGUGUGGGAUGAGCUCGCGGCCUAUCAGCUUGUUGGUGGGGUAAUGGCCUACCAAGGCGUCGACGGGUAGCCGGCCUGAGAGGGUGUACGGCCACAUUGGGACUGAGAUACGGCCCAGACUCCUACGGGAGGCAGCAGUGGGGAAUAUUGCACAAUGGGCGCAAGCCUGAUGCAGCGACGCCGCGUGGGGGAUGACGGCCUUCGGGUUGUAAACUCCUUUUGCUAGGGACGAAGCGCAAGUGACGGUACCUGGAGAAGCAGCACCGGCUAACUACGUG
rnacentral:rRNA from 1 species